UCCACUCCUCCCGCAGCCGCCUCCCUCCCUCCCUCCCUCCCUCCCACGCAGCCGCCUCCCUCCCUCACUCGCUCCUCAUCCGGCGAUCGCUUCCACUCCUCCCGCAGCCGCCUCCCUCCCUCACUCGCUCCUCAUUCGGUGACGGCGGCAGCGGUCACAGAGGAGGGCGGCGGAUCAAUGGCGUCGGCGAUGGCGUCCGUGGCGGCGGUGGACGGCGCGGCCGCGGCGCUCCGUUCGGUGAUGUCGCGCGCGCGGCAGGUGGCGGCGCGGUCGGGGCGGGCGCCGGAGCAAUUUGGGCUUCUAUCCUGAUUUAAUCCUUUGCCUCCUCUUGCUCGUACGCCAACAUUUGAGAACUAGGAGAAAGGGGUGGAGGCCAUGGAGGUCACGGGGCAAGGAAGAAGAGGAGGCCAUGGAGGUCGUGGGGGAGAUCCGGAGAGGAACAGGAGGCCACGAUGUCGCCCCCAUCUUCCCACUCCUUGAAGAAUAGCACCCCUUCGAGCCCCAUGUUGUGGAAAAUAUUGGAACAAUCCACAAUCAUGUUGAAGACCAACAUAGGAUGAUAGAGAAUCUGCAGGUUCAAGGAAUUGUUCUCAGCUUCAUCCAAUGGAGGAAAGAUAAUGCAGAGGGGGUGGAAGUAAAUUGUUGUGUCGCUAAUAGCACCAACUGCCAUUUAUGGAUCCAGGGCCCGAGUCUUAGUUUGAUCUUGCCGUUUCGCGGCUCAAUGUCGAUGACUACCAUGAGGCACUGCACAGUUAAACUCCUCUGGUAAUCAGCACCAACAAUUGCCUUAAAAGUCCGCAUUCUGCAUUGUAAUGCACUUUACUGGUUAGGCAAAGUUUCAGAAUUCAGUGACCAGGCUGAUAUUUACUAGAGGUAUUUUCUACACCUUUGUGUAAUGGGUGGAACCUAUCCUACACAAUGCCCAAUGAGCCAUGUUUUUUCCUACGGGUAGAAAAUGCUCUGUUUUCAAGUGGCAUCAUACGGCAAAGCAGGGGAUCUGGAUCAGGGGUCGUAAUGGUUCUUGUGACGACAUGUCUAGCGCUUCCGCUCCCUGCACUCUGGCUUCUACUUGCAAGUAAGCUUCUCUUGCUCUUCUACCACUCCCCCUCCUCUUCUGUGAGGAUCUCUGGUUGGAUUUGGGUAACCAGAGCCCAGGAGAUGAAUCCUAUUUGAAGAUGAACUGUGUAUGCUAGCUUGAUUUAGUUUAUGUGAGUAGAUAUUUAUAUAUGAAAUUAUGAACCA